rnacentral:rRNA from 1 species
GAUGAGCGCUGGCGGCGUGCCUAAUACAUGCAAGUCGAGCGAACGGACGAGAAGCUUGCUUCUCUGAUGUUAGCGGCGGACGGGUGAGUAACACGUGGAUAACCUACCUAUAAGACUGGGAUAACUUCGGGAAACCGUAGCUAAUACCGGAUAAUAUUUUGAACCGCAUGGUUCAAAAGUGAAAGACGGUCUUGCUGUCACUUAUAGAUGGAUCCGCGCUGCAUUAGCUAGUUGGUAAGGUAACGGCUUACCAAGGCAACGAUGCAUAGCCGACCUGAGAGGGUGAUCGGCCACACUGGAACUGAGACACGGUCCAGACUCCUACGGGAGGCAGCAGUAGGGAAUCUUCCGCAAUGGGCGAAAGCCUGACGGAGCAACGCCGCGUGAGUGAUGAAGGUCUUCGGAUCGUAAAACUCUGUUAUUAGGGAAGAACAUAUGUGUAAGUAACUGUGCACAUCUUGACGGUACCUAAUCAGAAAGCCACGGCUAACUACGCG